AACGAACGCUGGCGGCAUGCCUAACACAUGCAAGUCGAACGGGAUCCUAGCUUGCUAGGUGAGAGUGGCGGACGGGUGAGUAACACGUGGGAAUCUGCCUUUUGGUUCGGGAUAACCGCGGGAAAACUGCGGCUAAUACCGAAUGCCCUCGAGAGAGGAAAGAUUUAUCGCCCAGAAGAGGAGCCCGCGUCCGAUUAGGUAGUUGGUGGGGUAAAGGCCUACCAAGCCGACGAUCGGUAGCUGGUCUGAGAGGAUGAUCAGCCACACUGGGACUGAGAUACGGCCCAGACUCCUACGGGAGGCAGCAGUGGGAAUAUUGGACAAUGGGGGCAACCCUGAUCCAGCAAUGCCGCGUGAGUGAUGAAGGCCUUAGGGUUGUAAAAGUCUCUUUUUGCCAGGGAGAUGAUGACUGUACCUGGAGAAUAAGCCCCGGCUAACUACGUGCCAGCAGCCGCGG
rnacentral:rRNA from 1 species